UACGAAGGGGGCUAGCGUUGCUCGGAAUUACUGGGCGUAAAGGGCGCGUAGGCGGCUCUAUCAGUCAGGCGUGAAAUUCCUGGGCUUAACCUGGGGGCUGCGCUUGAUACAGUGGGGCUUGAGGGUGGAAGAGGGUCGCGGAAUUCCCAGUGUAGAGGUGAAAUUCGUAGAUAUUGGGAAGAACACCGGUGGCGAAGGCGGCGACCUGGUCCAUUACUGACGCUGAGGCGCGACAGCGUGGGGAGCAAACAGG
rnacentral:rRNA from 1 species